CUCAAAGUGAAGUGUCGUCUCAUUAUUGGGGGAAGGAUUUAUUGUAUGCUGUUCCAGUUUGACUGCUAGGAGAGUAAACCUAUUCGUAUGGUUCCUAUUCAACUGUCUACAGCAUUCAUAUGCUUGAGAGCAUUCAUAUGCUCCUACGGUUCGGUGGUUGUGGUGUCUGCUGCAGUGCUUGGAGUCCUCAGGAAGCGCUAGGAGCAU